rfam:Listeria monocytogenes str. 1/2a F6854 cont335, whole genome shotgun sequence.
UAUUGUUAGUAUUCAAAAUAACAUAGCAAGUUAAAAUAAGGCUUUGUCCGUUAUCAACUUUUAAUUAAGUAGCGCUGUUUCGGCGCUUUUUUU